AUUGAACGCUGGCGGCAUGCCUUACACAUGCAAGUCGAACGGUAACAGGUCUUCGGAUGCUGACGAGUGGCGAACGGGUGAGUAAUACAUCGGAACGUGCCUAGUAGUGGGGGAUAACUACUCGAAAGAGUGGCUAAUACCGCAUGAGAUCUACGGAUGAAAGCAGGGGAUCGCAAGACCUUGUGCUACUAGAGCGGCCGAUGGCAGAUUAGGUGGUUGGUGGGAUAAAAGCUUACCAAGCCGACGAUCUGUAGCUGGUCUGAGAGGACGAUCAGCCACACUGGGACUGAGACACGGCCCAGACUCCUACGGGAGGCAGCAGUGGGGAAUUUUGGACAAUGGGCGCAAGCCUGAUCCAGCAAUGCCGCGUGCAGGAUGAAGGCCUUCGGGUUGUAAACUGCUUUUGUACGGAACGAAAAGCCCUGGGUUAAUACCCUGGGGUCAUGGCGGUACCGUAAGAAUAAGCACCGGCUAACUACGUGCCAGCCGCCGCAGUAAUAC
rnacentral:rRNA from 1 species